AACCUCCGCAAUGUGAGAAAUCGCGACGGGGGGAUCCCAAGUGCCAUUCUUAACGGGAUGGCUUUUCAUUAGUGUAAAGAGCUUUUGGAAUAAGAGCUGGGCAAGGCCGGUGCCAGCCGCCGCGGUAACACCGGCAGCUCUAGUGGUAGCAAUUUUUAUUGGGCCUAAAGCGUCCGUAGCCGGUUUAAUAAGUCUCUGGUGAAAUCCUGCAGCUUAACUGUGGGAAUUGCUGGAGAUACUAUUAGACUUGAGACCGGGAGGGGUUGGAGGUACUCCCAGGGUAGAGGUGAAAUUCUGUAAUCCUGGGAGGACCGCCUGUUGCGAAGGCGUCUAACUGGAACGGUUCUGACGGUGAGGGACGAAAGUUAGGGGCGCGAACCGGAUUAGAUACCCGGGUAGUCCUAACUGUAAACGAUGCGGACUUGGUGUUGGGGUGGCUUUGAGCUGUCCCAGUGUCGAAGGGAAGCUGUUAAGUCCGCCGCCUGGGAAGUACGGUCGCAAGACUGAAACUUAAAGGAAUU
rnacentral:rRNA from 1 species